CUUUCAACAAUGGAUCUCUUGGUUCUCGCAUCGAUGAAGAACGCAGCGAAUUGCGAUAUGUAAUGUGAAUUGCAGAAUUCAGUGAAUCAUCGAAUCUUUGRACGCACCUUGCGCCCUUUGGUAUUCCGAAGGGCAUGCCUGUUUGAGUGUCAUUAAAUUCUCAACUUCAACACUUUUUUGUAUUGAAGCUUGGAUGUUGGAGGGUCUUGCGGGCAUAUAUUAAUGUCAGCUCCUCUUAAAUGCAUUAGCAGAACCUGUGUUCGGCUCUGGUUUGAUAAUCCUAUCUAUGCCAUUGCUGAAAUGUCAUUGUUCAGCUUCUAAUGGUCCAUUGGACUGUCUCUUCAGAGGCAUAUAUUUUGACUUGACCUCAAAUCAGGUAGGACUACCCGCUGAACUUAAGCAUAUCAAUAAGCGGAG
rnacentral:rRNA from 1 species